UGCUUUAAGUUAUAAUUUAAAGUAAAACCUGCUCAAUGAUUAUUAUAUAGCCGCAGCUAUACUGUGCUAAGGUAGCAUAAUAACUUGUUUCUUAAUUAGAAAAUUGUAUGAAUGGUCUAACAUUUAAAACCUGUAUCUACACAAUAAAUAAAAUUAGAAAAGAUGUAAAAACCCAUCUAAAAAAAAGUAAGACGACAAGACCCUAAUAAACUUAAACAAUUUAGUUGGGGAAACUAAAUAAAAAAACUUUAUAUAUUUUACCAAAUACCUUAAAAUAAAAAAAAGUUACUAUAGGGAUAACAGCGUUAUUUCUUUUAAGAGAUCUAAUCUAAAAAGAACUUUACGACCUCGAUGUUGAAUUAUUUAUCCUGAUAAGAGCACAAACUUAUUCAAAGGUAGUCUGUUCGACUAUUAAAAAUUU
rnacentral:rRNA from 1 species